AUUCCUGCAUCAGACUACAGAUAAAGCCACACUGUAAGGUUCCAGAUGGCCACACUUAUUUGGAGACAGCAUUUAACACAAUGCUACUUCUACCUCUAUGAGAACCUGGUGAAGAGGACACAGCCAGAGCUUUGCUCUAAAGGUUCCAAAUGCACAUCUAACUAACCAUCCAACUGGUCCCAUCAGCCAAUGUAUCUCUUUGUUACCUCAAGGGAGUUUGAUUUAGGUUUUCAUCAAUAUAGCUUCAUAUUUUCAA
rnacentral:lncRNA from 1 species